UCAUGUAAUUGAUUAUGUUGGAAAGGGGAGAAAUUGUGCAUUAGAAUGGUAUUGACAUUACAGUUGAUCUGGAAGCAUUACGUUUUUGGGGCACUAAAAUACGGGCAAUUGUACAGACGAUGUAUGAGUUUACGUGAGUUUACGUUAGCUAAGAUUGAGAGGAGACCACCGGAUUUUAACUGCUAGCCAUUUUUGACAAACUUUGCUAGCUAAUGAAAACAUUGCCAUCUGUCUACAACCUAUGAAUAGCAACAUUUGUUUAGCAUUUGUCUUUUUUGCCCAGCUCUCAGACUUUGUGUGUCUGCCUGCCUGCCAGCCUGUCUGUCUAUGAGUUCCAAGAAAUGUGGCUAGAGGUGUGGUGGCCACUGGAGGGCAACUUUACUGGAGCACAUGUAGGAGCUCGUUGUCAUUAAGUUAAUCUGUAACAGCUGAUACAAGUACGCAUCCCAUAUAAGGUACUACUACAGUACUAAUUCAUAUUUCAUUAAUGUACAUGGUCGACUUUGACCCAAGAGAACAAUCCAGACUAAGAAUUUGCAAAAGAUUGAACGCCUGGUCUAUGAUUAGUAGAUGUUGGAGAGGUGAGCGUGUAUCAUAUCCCCCUGCUGUUCUUCAUCCCUUGGUGCAGUCUGCUGACCAUCGCUGAGGCCAGGAAGAAGUCCGCUAGCCGAAGUAGAAGCCAAGUUCAUCACCAUGCAACGCUCUAUUAGCCGAGGUGCCAUGUCAUCUUCUAUCUACUUCAUAGUGGCCUCAGCUGGACUCCACCGCAUAACAUCUUGGUCUAGCCAGAUUAAUCAAGAGCUUCAAUCCGGGCCGGCUUUGGUUUCCAGGUGGAUCACAGUUACAAUCCCCAUUGCUUCCACCCACCUCAAUUAUCUACUAGGGGCUUCACAUUCUUCUUGAGGCGCUGAUAUUACUUUCUAAAUUAAAUGUUAUCAUGGUCGGAUGACUUACAAUCGUACAUGACUCUAUUCCCUUAAUGGACAGUACCAGAGACUGUUGCCUUAUUAGAAAUGUACAGAAGUUAUUUUUUUUCAAUAAACUAUUUUCUAUAUUA